rnacentral:rRNA from 1 species
ACAUGCAAGUCGAGCGGUAGCACAGAGAGCUUGCUCUCGGGUGACGAGCGGCGGACGGGUGAGUAAUGUCUGGGAAACUGCCUGAUGGAGGGGGAUAACUACUGGAAACGGUAGCUAAUACCGCAUAACGUCGCAAGACCAAAGUGGGGGACCUUCGGGCCUCAUGCCAUCAGAUGUGCCCAGAUGGGAUUAGCUAGUAGGUGGGGUAACGGCUCACCUAGGCGACGAUCCCUAGCUGGUCUGAGAGGAUGACCAGCCACACUGGAACUGAGACACGGUCCAGACUCCUACGGGAGGCAGCAGUGGGGAAUAUUGCACAAUGGGCGCAAGCCUGAUGCAGCCAUGCCGCGUGUGUGAAGAAGGCCUUCGGGUUGUAAAGCACUUUCAGCGGGGAGGAAGGCGAUAAGGUUAAUAACCUUGUCGAUUGACGUUACCCGCAGAAGAAGCACCGGCUAACUCCGUGCCAGCAGCCGCGGUAAUACGGAGGGUGCAAGCGUUAAUCGGAAUUACUGGGCGUAAAGCGCACGCAGGCGGUCUGUCAAGUCGGAUGUGAAAUCCCCGGGCUCAACCUGGGAACUGCAUUCGAAACUGGCAGGCUAGAGUCUUGUAGAGGGGGGUAGAAUUCCAGGUGUAGCGGUGAAAUGCGUAGAGAUCUGGAGGAAUACCGGUGGCGAAGGCGGCCC